rnacentral:rRNA from 1 species
UACGUAGGGUGCUAGCGUUGUCCGGAUUUAUUGGGCGUAAAGAGCUCGUAGGCGGACUGUCACGUCUGCUGUGAAAAGCUGGGGCUUAACCCUGGCCUUGCAGUGGAUACGGGCAGACUAGAGGUAGGUAGGGGAGAAUGGAAUUCCCGGUGUAGCGGUGAAAUGCGCAGAUAUCAGGAGGAACACCGGUGGCGAAGGCGGGUCUCUGGGCCGAUACUGACGCUGAGGAGCGAAAGCGUGGGGAGCGAACAGG